rnacentral:lncRNA from 1 species
UCUGACUACAAAGCCUGUAGCUAUGUGGUGGUAGGAGUGAAUAAUGCGUCAUUGCUCUAUGUUGAGAUGAGAGAAGCUAUAUGAUUUAGCUUUGUAUAGGCUUGUACAUUUUUGUGUAUACUCAGUGUAUAUUUUUGGUAUAUCCAUGAUAUAUCUUGUAAUUGGGUUGUAACUGGGCUGUGAUGAUUUUGUGUCUGAGCCCACAUGUCAUUAUUUAAUUUUGGGCCGGAUCACCCGACCCGACUCGUCCGUGUGUAACAUGUAUAUAUGUAGG